UCGCGAAAACUUUGCAAUACACGAAAGUGUGACAGGGCUAUCCCGAGUGCCAUCCGCUGAGGAAGGCUUUUACCCAGUAUAGCAAGCUGGGAGAAUAAGGAGAGGGCAAGACUGGUGUCAGCCGCCGCGGUAAUACCAGCUCUCCGAGUGGUGUGGAUGUUUAUUGGGCCUAAAGCAUCCGUAGCUGGCUGGGCAAGUCCCCUGUUAAAUCCACCGAUUUAAUCGUUGGUGUGCGGGGGAUACUGCUCAGCUAGGGGACGGGAGAGGCAGACGGUAUUUCCGGGGUAGGGGUGAAAUCCUAUAAUCCCGGGAGGACCACCAGUGGCGAAGGCUGUCUGCUAGAACGCGCCCGACGGUGAGGGAUGAAAGCUGGGGGAGCGAACCGGAUUAGAUACCCGGGUAGUCCCAGCUGUAAACGAUGCAGGCUAGGUGUUUGGACGGCCACGUGCCGUUCUAGUGCCGCAGGGAAGCCGUUAAGCCUGCCGCCUGGGGGAGUACGGCCGCAAGGCUAGAAACUUAAAGGAAUUGGCGGGGGACG
rnacentral:rRNA from 1 species